CGCGAAACCUUUACACUGCACGACAGUGCGAUAGGGGAACUCCGAGUGCGAGGGCAUAGAGCCCUCGCUUUUCUGCACCGUAAGGUGGUGCAGGAACAAGUGCUGGGCAAGACCGGUGCCAGCCGCCGCGGUAAUACCGGCAGCACGAGUGAUGGCCGAUCUUAUUGGGCCUAAAGCGUCCGUAGCUGGCCGUGCAAGUCCGUCGGGAAAUCCAGUGGCUCAACCUCUGGGCUUCCGGCGGAAACUGCUCGGCUUGGGACCGGAAGACUCGAGGGGUACGUUCGGGGUAGGAGUGAAAUCCCGUAAUCCUGAACGGACCACCGAUGGCGAAAGCACCUCGAGAGCACGGAUCCGACAGUGAGGGACGAAAGCUAGGGUCUCGAACCGGAUUAGAUACCCGGGUAGUCCUAGCUGUUAACGAUGCCCGCUCGGUUCGGCGCAGGCUACGAGCCUGUGCCGCGCCUCAGUGAAGACGUAAGSGGGCCGCCUGGGAAGUACGUCCGCAAGGAUGAAACUUAARGGAAUUGGCGGGGGAGCASUACAACCGGAGGASCSUGCGGU
rnacentral:rRNA from 1 species